UGAGCAAUCUGCCCUUCUCAUCGGAAUAAGCGUUGGAAACGACGUCUAAUGCCGAAUACGACCUCCUUUCGCAUGAUCGGAGGUGGAAAGCUCCGGCGGAGAAGGAUGAGCUACGCGGCCUAUCAGCUAGUUGGUGUGGGUAAUGGCCCACAAGGCGACGGACGGGUAGCCGGCCUGAGGAGGGUGACCCGGCCACACGUGGGACUGAGACACGGCCCAGACCUCCGUACGGGAGCAG
rnacentral:rRNA from 1 species